AUGGACGAGUUCUGGUUCUCUGGAUUGGUCUUGAUAAAGCUUUCAUACAGGAUACAACUUAAGCUGGAGUUCAUCGCUAAGCAGAUACUAGGAAACGUAGCUAUCAAUUAUCUUGUAUACAAAAGGUUUGGGACUGGAUCUUCUAAUGAAAGCUGGAGCAGAAGAAGAAGUCCAGGAGGGAGAGAUGGAGAUGUGAGCAUGUAUACAUAUGUUCUGGAGACACUAGACUUAUCUGGUGGUGUGUGCGUGCUGUUGUAUCCUCUUCCGGCCACUCUAAUCUACACCCUCAGUACAAGCCGAUGCAACGCCAAGCAGAUCGACAGGGGUGCGGGGUUCAGUUGGACGAUGACGAGCCAGGCAGCCGGCCUUUGCAUCAUGAACUGGCGCAGUUUGAUCUUAUCAUCUUACAUGUCAAGCACCAAACCGACACCGCGGCUUCUGCUGCUGGUGCUAGUGUGGAUGUUUAGCAAGUUCAACUACCAGUCUACGCCGAGUUCAGCAAUGUAG
rnacentral:rRNA from 1 species